CGCUCCACCCUGCUCUCCCUGAUUUUAUCAUUUCCCUGCUGCUGUGCAGAGUUUCUGUUCUUGGCACACAGCGACCUGCCUGACCUUGACUCCCAGGUAGCCCCGGCGCUCAGAUCCCUUCUCCAAACAUCCUCCCACUGAGGCCCCUCUCCCCUCACUCUCGUCCUUGUGACAUUUGCAAAGAGGGGCAAACGGAGCAAACCAAACAAACCCAGCAAAUACCGCUGGAAAAGGGGAACCAACGCGAUGUGCAGGGAAUAAAUAACCCGGCUACCUUGCGAGCCCUGUCCUUCCCCUGACCCCUCGUGCCGCACGUCUGCUCCGCGCUGCGGGCCGGCACGGGAUCCCCGCUCUUCCCCAAAUCCCCUGUGUACCUACGGAGCGAUAACCGAGCUCUGCUCCUCCCUAGGAAAACAACCGGAGCUUCCCAGAGGAGCUGUUUGCAGACAAUGCUGCAGAGCCGCUUCCCCGCACCGCUCCCUGUACCGAGCGAAUGUAAGGGCAGCCUCAAGCCCGAGGGCUGGGAUAAAAGUUGGAUUUCUCGCUCUCCAGAGAAUGCUGCAGGUGUGGACACACCUAUUGGCCCUCCCAGCCCCUCGGCCGGUCCCGCUUUGUGCGAAGAGAGAGAGUGUUGGUGUUUAUUGCCUUUUUCCCCAGCUGCACACUGGCACGGACUUUGCUCCUCUGGGCUGGGAUUUCUAAGCAGCGGGAGGCUUUCCACGUGUGUUUGAGAAGGUCCCCAAGCACAGGCUCGCCUCCAUCUCCACAGGACUGGAUCCCCUCCAGGACAGGCUCCUCUCAGCCCCGCCAAUACCUGGAUCCCCUCAGAACCCUCUGGGACAAGCUCCCCUCAGACCCCCCAAACACGGGAUCCCCAAGACCGGAUCCCUUCAGCUUCCUCUGGCCAAGCCCCCUCCAGCCCCUCCUCAGCGGGCGCAGCCAGGGUGGGGAGGGCUGGGAUGCAGCAGCCUCCAUUCCCCCGUCCAUCCCUCCCUCCCUGCCUGCCUGCCUGCUGCGUGCUGCAGCCCGCCUUCCCCCCGGCCUGCCGCGCUCCCCCCGCUCGCCGCCCGCGGUGAUCCGCGCUGAGCUCACGGCCGCGCCUCACGACACCCCGGCUCGGCACGUCAGCCCCGCCAUCGCGUGAGAGCCGCCGCCCGCCGCCGCCCCCCCGCCCGCCGCCAUCACGCACGGCGGGAACAGCUGCCGGCACGGCGCGGCCAGACCCCGCUCCCAGACCCCGCUCCCAGCCAAGGCGGGCUCUCGCCAGCUCCUAUUAAUGCAGACCUUAAUUAAUGACCCC
rnacentral:lncRNA from 1 species